rnacentral:lncRNA from 1 species
CCAGGCGAGGGUACCCGAAUGCCACAGUUGGGCUCACCGCUCCGUUUGCAUCUGUGGGCGCUUCUUCCUCGUCCGCGCCAGCCACGCCCUCGCGAGUGUAGGAAGGGAGGGAGAGGGCGGAGAGGGGAAACAGAGGAAUAUACUCGUGGAAGAAGGAGAUGGAGGAAUACAAGUGAAGGUCGAUGAAUGACAAGUCAGGGUUCAAAGUGCGCUGAGUGGCGGCUCGGUUGGAGGAGGGGAUGAGAGUGCGUUACCUUUUGCAAAAAGGGGAGGAGGCUGUUUUUAGAAGGUUCUAGAGGAGGACCUCCCUGCAGGCUUGGAGGCCGACAUUACAGACGGAAAUUUCAAAACCUUGGAUUUCGAAGCAACACCUUGAAAGUUUUCGAGUUGGAGAUUUCGAGGUUGUCAAGGAGUACCUGUCUUUAGCCUUGAAGGCUGACCCUUUCCCAAGGAGCACUGGGCCCCUCACAAACAGUCAGCCGGAACACGAGAGGCUGGCCCGACCGACCGACCUUCGCCAUGACCACGCUCGCCCGAAGAAAUUCCUCCAUACACAAAGUCCGAGAAUAUCAGCUGGAGAAGGAAAUAAAAAAAAGUUAGUGUUCUUCUAUUUCAUAUGAUUUUUCAAAAGUCUGUUUGUAAGAAAUGUAUUUCAAAGGAAACUGUUAGAUGCUGGUGCUCCACGGCCAAAAAGGAGGUGGCAACCACUGGCGCGACCUUAGU